GCGGCAGUGGUGGAAUUGGUAGACACGCUAGCUUGAGGUGCUAGUGACGGAAACGUUGAGGAGGUUCAAGUCCUCUCUGCCGCA
rnacentral:tRNA from 1 species